GAAUAAAUAAAUAAGGUUGGAAUGGUAAUGUAGGCGGGGCAAGCGUGCCACUGUUAUGAUAGAACAAACAUAACUCGACCGAUUCUUUCAUUCACCGCGUUUAGUGCGCUUCGGACUACUUGGCGAACAGAUCUCCGCUUUAUAGUGCCGUGUUGUGCAAUUAUAACUUGUAAAACAAAAAAUCAGACCUCAAGUAUAGAGCGAGGAGGUAUAUCUUUCGAUCGGUUUCCUAAAGAACCUAACGCCAGGGAACAAUGGAUUGACGUGACAGGUAGAGGAAACUGGAGACAAAGACGAGUACUAUUUGCUCUAAACAUUUUACUGAAAAUGAUUUUAUCAUAAAAAAAAUCAGAAUACACUUAGUUUUGAAAAA